GCAAAUCUCUUGGGAAAACAAGCGGACAAAUGUCAGCGUGCUGGAAGAAGCAAAGACUACCAGCAUUGAAGCAAUGGUCCUCCACCAUCAACUCGGUUGGACCUGCCACGUUGUCUGGAUGCCUGACCACCAUCUACCAAAGCAGCUGCUCUACUCCGAACUCAAGAACGGAAAACAGAAUGUUGGAGGACAGGAAAAGAGAUUUAAAGGUGGGCUCAAAGCCAACCUUUAAAAACUCUGGCAUAGACACUGAGAACUGGGAAGCCCUGGCCCUUGAGCACUCCAGCUGGAGGUCAGCUGUGACCAGCAGUGCUGUAGAAUGUGAAGAGGCACGAAUGGAGGGAGAAAGAGAAAUGUGCCAAGAGAAAGGCGCGUCAAGCCAACCCCGACCGAGAUCGCCUUCCACCUGGAAACUGAUGCCCUCACUGCGGGAGAAGAUGCAGAUCAACAAUAGGGCUCCACAGUCACCUACGGACCCACUAGUACACUGAUCUUGGAAGACUAUCCUACUCGGACAAUGAGGGAUUGCCUAAGUAAGAGCAGUUCUGCAGCGACCUGAAGAUAAAGUUUGCUUACGGCAAGACAAGGUCACUCUACGGACAACUAAGUAAGAGAGCCUGUAUAUUAUUCUGUUACAUGUCUGCAUAUUGCCGUUGAUUGAAGAGGACUCACCGAAGAUAUUGUUUUUGUUAUAUUUUGGUGAGAGCAAUUCUUCUGUCUUGUUUUGUAUACAGUGAAUAGAACUUCAUUUUAUUUCUACUUAAAGCGAAAGACUCAUUUGUGUUAUUUUUUAUCACACUUAGAGUUACAAAACCUGCCUAAAUAACCUAAGAGGCUCCUGUUCACAUUUAGAAGCUGAGCAGAGAUAUUUUUUCCAUCGAUUUCUUGCCUUGCAUUGUGAGGAGAGGUGGGGAACAAUAAAUAAUAAUAAUAAUCAACUGUGGUUGGUACUUGGGUGGCCAAUGAAUAUACCAGGAGCUGGAUGUUUCAGACAGAAGGAACUGGCAAAACCAGCUCUGAAUCCUUACCUAAGAAAACCUUAUUAAAUUGAUAGAGUCAACAUAAGGCAAUAGAUGACUUGAAGACACAUACAAACAGAGGAUUAGAUAGGGAAAUGAGAUGUAAAAACUACUGCCAAUGAUAGUUAUAUUUAUUAAAAUGAGCAUUCAUCAAAUUGUUGCCUAAGCAGUUUAUACAGUGAGCCUUUGGUAUCUGCUAAGAUUUGGUUUCAGCACCUGAAGGAGUCCAAAAUGCUCAAGUCUCAUUUUAUACAAUGGCAAAGUAAAAUAGUAUCCAUUAUGUUAAAAUGCUAAAAUUAGGGCUGGGGGCUGACAGUAAAAGAAAUAUUAUUAAAGCUGUGGAUACAGAAUCUGUGGAUACAGAGGACUAACUGUAAUACCAACUUCAUGGCAAGUGACUUAAUUGCUGAUAUAAGUGAUGAACAUCAUGUUAAUUGGUAAUCCAAUUAACAUGUGUACUGUGGUAAGAAGCCAGUUUCCUGAUUUCAACUUUCAGUGAUGGACCUUAAUUGUAACAUGGCAGUUUCUCCUUGUCUCCUUUUGAUCCACAGUAAUUGCUUUCAGAACAGAAUCUCCUGGGAGGCUACAGCCCGAAUAUUGUUGUUUCUGAAGUCAGAUCAGCAUCCAUUUAUUCUUUUACUAGCUGUCCCCUGCCACACAUUGCUGUGGCCCAGUCUGUGUAUGUUUUGUGUGUGCAUAUAUGUGUAUAUUUGUAUAUAUGUGGUUUUGUGCAUGCGUUGUAAUGUAUUUUUAUUUUUUUUGCUUUUUAAGUCUUUUCCACUGUGUUUUUCAGUGUUUUUAUGAGUGAUGGUCACUUGUUGACCUGAUAGGUGUAUUGUGUCCAAAUUUGGUGUCAAUUCACCCAGUGGUUUUUGAGUUAUGUUAAUCCCACAAACAAACAUUACAUUUUUAUUUAUAUAGAUGGCAGGGGUGGGAAGAGUAUGGAGCUCCAGAUGAAGCUGAACUGCAAAUCCCAUUUUCUUUUUGCCAAUACAGCAAAUGGUGAGGAAUACUGGGAAUCACAGUCCAAAAACAUUAACAGGGCCACAUCCCAUUGGCUCACCUCAUUUGAGGUAAGCGUUAUAUGAGUCUAAACUGAAUAUAUACUGCAGUUUCAGAUUGCAAUAUAUGGCAGUGUAAAUGGGGUCUUAUAGGCAACAUUAUCAGGAGUUGUCAGAAUAGAUAUAGAAAAAGAGUUGACAUCUGAGUUUGUCUCAGGCUGGAUCUACAUUGCCCUAUAUCCCAAGAUCUGAUCCCAGAUUAUCGACUUUGAACUGGAUUAUAUAAAACCACACUACCAAAUAAUCUGGGAUAAGAAGAUAAUCUAGGAUCAGAUCCUGGAAUACAGUGCAAUGUAGAGUCUGCUCUCUUUCUUUAAAUCCUUGUUUUGGGCCUUGUUGCUGCUAAUUAGUUUAAUGAGUCUGUAAUGAAGCAUGGGCAUGGCACCUAAACUGAAAGUUGUCAUUUCCUCAUUGAUUAUCAUUUGAGUGGCUUCAGCUGGGAGUUUCAAAUGUGAUGCUUUGUCACUGUAUGGCUGGGUAGAUUAUUAUUAUUUCAGGCCUGCUGAACAGAGAUUCACAAUGUUAAAAUUUGCAUCAGGCAUUUUAAAAUUAUUCCUGGAUAUCAAUGAGGCCUUGGUCACUGUAUGGCUGGGUAGAUUAUUAUUAUUUCAGACCUGCUGAACAGAGAUUCACAAUGUUAAGAUUUGCAUCAGGCAUUUUAAAAUUAUAAUAAUAACUUGUUUAGGACAGGAUCAACCAGAACUGCAGAGAGAUAGGUAAAGAGUGAGUAAGGCACUUUCAAGUCAGUUAGGAUUUGGAUGAGUUAAAGAAGCCUUGGAAUUGUAACCCUGAGCUUUUGUACUCCAAGUAAUCGUCAAGUACUGUUCAAUAAUUGUUUCAAGUGAUAUAUGUUGGAAACAACUUUGUUCAAGCCUCCACUAGUAAUCUGUUUGUAUAUGAUCCUGUUUGCUUACUAUAUUAUAUAUAUAUAUGUUUUGGUAUACAGCUUUCCCUUUUACUCUGGUUUUCUUGAGGUUGUGGGAGGAGCUGCAGACCACAUGAUGGGACUACUCUGAGCUUAGACUCCAUUUUUUAGACUUCAAACUUCAUUAGAGCACAGAACACAGAGAUGCUUUAGACUUUGGACUGUUAAGAUCAUAAGAAAGAUGCCCCAUUUUAUCUGCACAGAGAAACUACUUCAAAUCCUAUCUGUAACUGGACAUGCAAGUUAUGUACCUGUAUUUUGAAUACAUGGUGGUUGUGAGUAAACCAGAUAUAUUACUUUUAA